AACGAACGCUGGCGGCGUGCCUAACACAUGCAAGUCGAACGUGAUCCGCCCUUCGGGGUGGUGAAAGUGGCGCACGGGUGAGUAACGCGUGGAUAAUCUGCCCGAGGAUUUGGGAUAACAUCUCGAAAGGGGUGCUAAUACCGAAUAAGCCCACGGGGUCUACGGAUCUUGCGGGAAAAGGGGGGGACCUUCGGGCCUCCUGUCCUUGGAUGAGUCUGCGUACCAUUAGCUAGUUGGUGGGGUAAUGGCCUACCAAGGCGACGAUGGUUAGCUGGUCUGAGAGGAUGAUCAGCCACACUGGAACUGAGACACGGUCCAGACUCCUACGGGAGGCAGCAGUGGGGAAUUUUGCGCAAUGGGGGAAACCCUGACGCAGCAACGCCGCGUGGGUGAUGAAGGCCUUCGGGUCGUAAAGCUCUGUCUGGAGGGAAGAAAUGAUUGGGAGCUAAUACCUCUUGAUCUUGACGGUACCUCUGAAGGAAGCACCGGCUAACUCCGUGCCAGCAGCCGCGGUAAUACGGAGGGUGCAAGCGUUGUUCGGAAUUAUUGGGCGUAAAGCGCGUGUAGGCGGUCUUUUAAGUCUGAUGUGAAAGCCCCGGGCUCAACCUGGGAAGUGCAUUGGAAACUGGGAGGCUUGAGUACGGGAGAGGAGAGUGGAAUUCCUAGUGUAGGAGUGAAAUCCGUAGAUAUUAGGAGGAACACCGGUGGCGAAGGCGGCUCUCUGGACCGAUACUGACGCUGAGACGCGAAAGCGUGGGUAGCAAACAGGAUUAGAUACCCUGGUAGUCCACGCCGUAAACGAUGAGUACUAGGUGUUGCGGGUAUUGACCCCUGCAGUGCCGUAGCUAACGCAUUAAGUACUCCGCCUGGGAAGUACGGUCGCAAGACUAAAACUCAAAGGAAUUGACGGGGGCCCGCACAAGCGGUGGAGCAUGUGGUUUAAUUCGACGCAACGCGCAAAACCUUACCUGGGCUUGACAUCCACGGAACCCUCCC
rnacentral:rRNA from 1 species